rnacentral:rRNA from 1 species
CGUAGGUGGCAAGCGUUGUCCGGAAUCAUUGGGCGUAAAGCGCGCGCUAGGCGGUCCUUUAAGUCUGAUGUGAAAUCUUGCGGCUCAACCGUAAGCGGUCAUUGGAAACUGGGGGACUUGAGUGCAGGAGAGGAAAGCGGAAUUCCAUGUGUAGCGGUGAAAUGCGUAGAGAUAUGGAGGAACACCAGUGGCGAAGGCGGCUUUCGUGGCCUGUAACUGACGCUGAGGCGACGAAAGCGUGGGGAGCAGACAGGAUU